CUGCUGCCUCCCGUAGGAGUCUGGGCCGUGUCUCAGUCCCAAUGUGGCCGUUCAACCUCUCAGUCCGGCUACUGAUCGUCGCUUUGGUGGGCCGUUACCCCGCCAACUGGCUAAUCAGACGCGAGCUCAUCUUUGGACGAUAAAUCUUUGGCAGCAAAAUCAUGCGGUCCUGCUGCAUUAUGCGGUAUUAGCAGUCGUUUCCGGCUGUUAUCCCCCAUCCAAAGGCAGAUUGCUCACGUCG
rnacentral:rRNA from 1 species